rnacentral:lncRNA from 1 species
GGGAGAGGAAUUGCGACAGCUGCCCCCCCACCCCUGCGGUCCCCCGUGCGCUGGGCUCGGGCGGGGCGACCAGGAAGGGGUGCGCCCCAGGACCACGCGGCCGGGAAACUUUCCCGAUUCUUCUGCGGACCCGACGAGAAUUUCGCCCAUCUCAAAGGGGUCCUGCGUGGACGCGAGCGUCUUGCUCUUUCCCUUCCACUCUGUGUAGGGCCUUCCAACCAACCCCCACGGCGACUCCCGCUCUCCCCAGCCCCAGCCCCACGUACACAGGCAGGCACGCGCGCCCGGCGCGCUGAACUCGGGGACUGGAGUUGCGGGAGAGUCGGCGCGGGAAGAACCCCAGCUCGGGGAACGCGAAUCCACGCCCGGGAGAGAGCGGUCAACGCUGGGCAGCGUCGCGGACGCCGGAGCGCGGGUGCGGGGAGUCCCCCCCUGGACGCUGCCGCAGCACCUCCUCCCCGCCCCGGUACCUCCUCCCCGCCCCAGUCCGUCCCGCCCUCUCUGGCCUCUGCGGACUCGGUCCGCUCCGGCCACGGCCGCGCGCGCCGGAUCUCGCGACCUCGCAGAGGGGGGCCGACCCUCGCCCCAGCCCCAGCCGUCUGGGACGCCCCGGGGGCUCUCAUCCGGGGACGCAGCGCCUCCGGCUCCACAGCCCAGGCGAGGAUGAUGGCGGUAGGAAGAAGUAAGGGAGGGAGACCGCCGCAGACCGACCCUGCGCUGCGAAGACGGGAGUCGCCUCCAAAGGCCAAGGAGGAAACCAGGGGCCCACAGAGGCGGCGGGCAAGCGCACAGGCCAGGGAGCUGCAGGCGGCCCCCAGCCCAGCCCGACUUCGCGGCACCUGCUGCUGCGGCGGCGCCGGGAGCUCAAGUGGGCGCGCGCUGGCGGGCGGGAGCGAGGGCGCUGUCCGCGGUCCUGCCCGCGUCUGCCCCAGAGCGGCGCCCGGGAGAGGGCGGAGGACUCAGGUCGGCGCCCUGGGAGUGGGGGAUAACAAGGUGACUGUACUCUCCCCGCGCCUGGCCUCCAGAUUCCGGAGGGGCUCCAGGAGCCCCGGACUCAGCAACACGACUUCUGUCACCAAGCUGCGGGCGCGUCGGUCUCCAGGCAGCUUCCAGUCCUAA